rnacentral:rRNA from 1 species
CCUACGGGUGGCAGCAGUGAGGAAUAUUGGUCAAUGGGCGGAAGCCUGAACCAGCCAAGUCGCGUGAGGGAAUAAGGCCCUACGGGUCGUAAACCUCUUUUGCCGGGGAGCAAGGACUGGGACGUGUCCCGUCCCGCAUAGUCCCCACAGACAAAGCAUCGGCUAACUCCUUGCCAGCAGCCGCGGUAAUACGGAGGAUGCGAGCGUUCUCCGGAUUUAAUGGGUUUAAGGGGUGCGUAGGCGGUUUGAUAAGUUAGAGGUGAAAUGCCGGGGCUCAACCCCGAAACUGCCUCUAAUACUGGUGGGCUAGAGAAGAGUAGAGGUAGGCGGAAUGUAUGGUGUAGCGGGGAAAUGCGUAGAGAUCAUACAGAACACCGAUUGCGAAGGCAGCUUACCAAACUAUAUCUGACGUUGAGGCACGAAAGCGUGGGUAGCAAACAGGAUUAGAUACCCGUGUAGUC